GUGGCUUAAACCUAGCUGUCCACAUUUCACUAUCUGAAGAGCAGAAAAUGUGUUAAUAGGAGCCUGGUGAGUGGAGGAGACUGAAGAUGGAGAGAGAGCCUGGACCUCAACAUGAGCAUCUGGAGCCAUUUGGCAGCAUUAGGCUGUGACCGCUUAGAGAACCGAAAGGUGCAGAGCUUUAAAGGAUUAUGGAGUCUGAAGACCAAAUGGGAUGAUGGAGAACAGCUAUUCAGUGGUACAAAUGUAAAUGCUCCCAGGCCCGGGCAGGCACAGCACUUUGGAAGACAGGCA
rnacentral:lncRNA from 10 species